AUAUAUAACAAACAAAUCACUAACGGAUAGAUAGAGUGUAUUUGUUGAUGAAUUAAA
rnacentral:guide_RNA from 1 species